UGGGGAAUCUUGGACAAUGGGGGCAACCCUGAUCCAGCCAUGCCGCGUGAGUGAUGAAGGCCUUAGGGUCGUAAAGCUCUUUCGCCUGUGAAGAUAAUGACGGUAGCAGGUAAAGAAACCCCGGCUAACUCCGUGCCAGCAGCCGCGGUAAUACGGAGGGGGUUAGCGUUGUUCGGAAUUACUGGGCGUAAAGCGCACGUAGGCGGACCAGAAAGUUGGGGGUGAAAUCCCGGGGGCUCAACCCCGGAACUGCCUCCAAAACUAUUGGUCUAGAGUUCGAGAGAGGUGAGUGGAAUUCCAAGUGUAGAGGUGAAAUUCGUAGAUAUUUGGAGGAACACCAGUGGCGAAGGCGGCUCACUGGCUCGAUACUGACGCUGAGGUGCGAAAGUGUGGGGAGCAAACAGGAUUAGAUACCCUGGGUAGUCCACACCGUAAAACGAUGAAUGCCAGUCGUCGGGGUAGCAUCUAUUCGGUGACACACCUAACGGAUUAAGCAUUCCGCCUGGGGAGUACGGUCGCAAGAUUAAAA
rnacentral:rRNA from 1 species